rnacentral:rRNA from 1 species
AGAGUUUGAUCCUGGCUCAGAACGAACGCUGGCGGCAUGCCUAACACAUGCAAGUCGAACGAGAAAGCUCCCUUCGGGGAGCCGGUAAAGUGGCGCACGGGUGAGUAACGCGUGGGUAACCCACCUUCGAAUCUGGGAUAACUCCGCGAAAGCGGUGCUAAUACCGGAUAAGACCACAGCCGUUUCGGCGGCAGAGGUAAAAGCUGACCUCUCCAUGGAAGUUAGCGUUCGAGGACGGGCCCGCGUCCUAUCAGCUUGUUGGUGGGGUAAAGGCCUACCAAGGCAGCGACGGGUAGCUGGUCUGAGAGGAUGAUCAGCCACACUGGAACUGGAACACGGUCCAGACUCCUACGGGAGGCAGCAGUGAGGAAUUUUGCGCAAUGGGGGAAACCCUGACGCAGCAACGCCGCGUGGGUGAAGAAGGCUUUCGGGUCGUAAAGCCCUGUCAGGUGGGAAGAACCGUUUCGAUACUAAUAAUGUCGAAGCCUGACGUACCACCAGAGAAGCACCGCCAACU